rnacentral:rRNA from 1 species
GCACCGCGACCCCAGGUCAGGCGGGAUUACCCGCUGAGUU